rnacentral:rRNA from 1 species
UACGUAGGGGGCAAGCGUUGUCCGGAUUUAUUGGGCGUAAAGAGCGUGUAGGCGGCCAGGUAGGUCUGCUGUGAAAACUCGAGGCUCAACCUCGAGAUGUCGGCGGAAACCAUCUGGCUAGAGUCCGGAAGAGGAGAAUGGAAUUCCCGGUGUAGCGGUGAAAUGCGCAGAUAUCGGGAAGAACACCCGUGGCGAAGGCGGUUCUCUGGGGCGGUACUGACGCUGAGACGCGAAAGCGUGGGGAGCGAACAGG